CAGGGAGGAUGGGCACAGACCAUGUCUGUGUCUGGGGGUGGUAUAAAAAGGUGUUUAGGAAGGCAGUCUUUGUUGGCCUCUAUUUUUCUCUCAAGGUGGAACAAAGUCUGCUAAAAUAUCUGCAAGCAGAGCUGAGAGGUCUGGGGACAUGGGCAAGUUCUUGCAGUGAUGUGAUGUUCCCAUAACGUCGUGGGUCUUGCAUGGCCCUCUACUUGGUUGCUGAUUUUCACUUGUGCUUCUCUGACAUUCACUUGGGGAGGCCACUAGCCACUGAGCCUGCACUUCACAUCAUCCUUCAGCUCUUCUGUCAGCUUUGCAGCAUCAGAGGCACUGUCACCUGUGUACUCUUUUGAGUUUUGUCAGUCAGAGUUGAACCACAGGAAUAUACAAUAAUAGGAGAGAGACCAAAGAGUUAAACCUUACUUAGAUUGAGCAAAGCGCCUUAUGGGAAGUUGGUUCAUUGCCUAGGAAUACACUAUGCCUUGUCCAUGAUACUCUAUGUAUUGUACUCAUUGUACAUAAGAAAACAGUAUUUUUGUAGGUCAAAAAGGUUGAAUGUUGGUAAUUUCAUAUGCUUCACCCUAAUAAUUGUACUCUGACUUACUAUAAUGGAUUUAUAUAGUCUCUAUUUUUAAUAAAAAUAUUUCUGUGCUAUUUAGGGCAGUGCUAA